AGGUAUCCUUCUGUGUUU
rnacentral:tRNA from 1 species